UUUGUGAAUGAUUAAUUGUAGUAAUAAAAAACAAACAGAAAAGAAACGAAAGGACAUAAAAAAAAUUGGCUCUUCUUCUCCGCUCCUCUUCGACCGAAAUUCACAACGAAACAAAUACGAUUCCAGCUGAAUCUAAAUCGGUAUUCUGGAUUUUAAUAAAACCCAGAUACUUCAUCAAUAUCUUUUUGUGGUUAGAGAAUUGAUUCUCUAAACGGGUCAACGAUUUCUCUAAGAGAAACUCAGAUCUACCGUUACAAUCACUGCUUUUUGAUGUUCUUCAAAAUUGAUUGAACUGCCUUAACGUGGAAUUUGUCCCAUGUAAAUCCGGAUAUAAAACUGUUGAGGACUACGAUUAAACCAAAGAUAAGUAUUGAAAUCAAUGUUAAGUUUAAACAGUUAUUGGUUUUUAAGUUUACAAAACACUAAUACGAAUUUGUUUUGUGGUAGGCUGAUUCUGAAUUUUGGUUAUGAUGACUACACUUAGAAACUGGCAGUUGAGUAAAGAAUACAUCAGCACUUGAUAUUUCCUUAACGUGAAAUUUGAUGACUACACUUACAAACUGGCAGUCGAGUAAAGAAUAAAUCAUCACUUGAUACUUGAUGAUCCUGUAUUUCCAAGAAGAUGAUUAACAGCACAAUUUGGAAGUGAAUCAAUGAAGAAGACAUCUAUACUAUUAAUUGGCCUUAAGAUCAGAGAGAUUUGUGAAAGCAUCAUUGGCGGCCAUCUCUUUUUAAAAGAUCAUUUUGCGAAGAGAUAUAGAAUUAUUUACUUAUAGCAAAUGAUUACAGAAUCCGUAAUCUUUGGGAAUUAUUUACUACCUUGUGUCUCGGAGCUCAACCUUUAAUUGUUUUUGAAAUGGUAAGUUUUUCUACUCUAAAAUCCCGAAUUUGUUGGAGAGUAAAUGAUAACAUUGAAGAAUGUUGGUGCUUAGAUUUUUAAUGCAAGCUGUUUGAUCUUUUUAUUUACCUUAUAUUAUUGGGAGAACCAGUUUGUUUGGACACAUAGUUAGCUUAUGAAAGAUCCGAAUAAGUUAAUAGGCAAACAUAAAGAUCCGCGUGUUUUUCAAUUAAAGAUUAC